rnacentral:rRNA from 1 species
AUUGAACGCUGGCGGCAGGCCUAACACAUGCAAGUCGAACGGUAACAGGAAGAAGCUUGCUUCUUUGCUGACGAGUGGCGGACGGGUGAGUAAUGUCUGGGAAACUGCCUGAUGGAGGGGGAUAACUACUGGAAACGGUAGCUAAUACCGCAUAGCGUCGCAAGACCAAAGAGGGGGACCUUCGGGCCCCUUGCCAUCGGAUGUGCCCAGAUGGGAUUAGCUAGUUGGUGGGGUAACGGCUCACCAAGGCGACGAUCCCUAGCUGGUCUGAGAGGAUGACCAGCCACACUGGAACUGAGACACGGUCCAGACUCCUACGGGAGGCAGCAGUGGGGAAUAUUGCACAAUGGGCGCAAGCCUGAUGCAGCCAUGCCGCGUGUAUGAAGAAGGCCUUCGGGUUGUAAAGUACUUUCAGCGGGGAGGAAGGGAGUAAAGUUAAUACCUUUGCUCAUUGACGUUACCCGCAGAAGAAGCACCGGCUAACUCCGUGCCAGCCGCCGCGGUAA